AUGGGCACAGGCAUAUACUUAUUGGAUAAGGAACACCUGCCCAUCCGUCCAGAUUUUGAAGAUAAUCAAGUUGUCAUGAAUGAGAAUGAACCAUCAUCUGCACAAGCACAAGCAAAGAAGGAGAAGGCAAGGAAGGAGAAAGCUGCCAAGAUGCCAACUCAAGAGGAGGCAUCUGAGUAUUUCUUGAAAACCAAACAAGAGCAGCUUGGUUACUUGAUUGCAUCCACACUGAGGAUUGAGCAAGGACUGGCCACCCUCACUCAGAAUCAGCAGAGCUUAGAGAGGAUCAUGGAACAAAAGUUCUAUGACUUGGAUGUCAAAGUGACAGAGAUUCAGACUGCAGUGGAGCAGCUCCAGGAUGACAUGCAUGAGAGGAGAGGCAAGACUACAACUGAUGCCUUUGCCAGAGUGCCAUGA
rnacentral:rRNA from 1 species